rnacentral:rRNA from 1 species
GACGAACGCUGGCGGCGCGCCUAACACAUGCAAGUCGAACGGAGCUGAGAGAAGCUUGCUUUUCUUAGCUUAGUGGCGAACGGGUGAGUAACGCGUGAGUAACCUGCCCUGGAGUGGGGGACAACAGUUGGAAACGACUGCUAAUACCGCAUAAGCCCACGAUCCGGCAUCGGAUUGAGGGAACAGGAUUUAUUCGCUUCAGGAUGGACUCGCGUCCAAUUAGCUAGUUGGUGAGGUAACGGCCCACCAAGGCGACGAUUGGUAGCCGGACUGAGAGGUUGAACGGCCACAUUGGGACUGAGACACGGCCCAGACUCCUACGGGAGGCAGCAGUGGGGGAUAUUGCACAAUGGGGGAAACCCUGAUGCAGCGACGCCGCGUGGAGGAAGAAGGUUUUCGGAUUGUAAACUCCUGUCGUUAGGGACGAUAAUGACGGUACCUAACAAGAAAGCACCGGCUAACUACGUG